rnacentral:rRNA from 1 species
CGCAUCUGUGCAUGCAGCAUAUCAAUAAGCGGAGGAAAAGAAACUAACAAGGAUUCCCUUAGUAACGGCGAGCGAACCGGGAUAAGCCCACCAUGAGAAUCGGUCGCCCUCGGCGUUCGAAUUGUAGUCUGGAGAAGCGUCCUCAGCGGCGGACCGGGCCCAAGUCCCCUGGAAAGGGGCGCCGGAGAGGGUGAGAGCCCCGUUGUGCUCGGACCCUGUCGCACCACGAGGCGCUGUCGGCGAGUCGGGUUGUUUGGGAAUGCAGCCCCAAUCGGGCGGUAAAUUCCGUCCAAGGCUAAAUAUUGGCGAGAGACCGAUAGCGAACAAGUACCGUGAGGGAAAGAUGAAAAGGACUUUGAAAAGAGAGUUAAACAGUACGUGAAAUUGUCAAAAGGGAAGCGUUUGACACCAGUGUUGUUUUCUCGAAAAUCAAUUAAAAAGAGUUAGAUUUUGUUGUGUAUUGACCUUAACAGCUUGCAUUUCAAUUUUCUUGCUUUUUUUAAUGCACUUUUCGUUUAACAAGUCAACAUCAGUUUCUUUUGUUGUAAAAAGGUCAUUGGAAGGUGGCUUUCUUUUCGGAGAAAGUGUUUAUAGCCUUUGACUCCUGCAAUCGGAGAGACUGAGGUCUGCAGCGUAGAUCCUUCGGGGUUAGAUACAUUUGUGCUAAGUUAUAGCUUUUUAUAGACAACUUGUUGACUAUGAUUAGUCUUGUAGCUUACUCGCUUAUGCUAUUUUACCUACGCUUAGGAUGUUGAAGACUCUACAGAGAU